CCUGAGCUGGUGACCGCAUGGUUUGCAGCGGGUGGGCAGGGGAUGCUCCAGUCCCUAUGGGAAGCCACAGAGGAAUGUGGGGGUACCACUUGCCAUGUGCCAAGGAGUAACUGCCUGUUCUAUCCCUCUGCAGCCUCAAGGCCGGGUUGAUGAUGAGCAGCACAGACCCAUCCAAGGGAGCUGGUUAUCCUUGGGGGCUGGUACAGCUGGACCUGGCUGCCAGCAAGGAGACUGGAUGCAAGGAUGUGCUGCCCAUGGAACCCCCUUUACCAGGCACCGGCGCUACCCAGCAGCCAUGGGACAUCAAUAGCUGCUCCCUGGGCACACAGACCCUGCCUGAACAAGGCACUGGCUUAAAGCACAAACCUGGUGCCUGCCUCUCCCUGUCAUCCCAGUGCAGGCAGAGGUCACGGCUCCAGUAACUGUGGGAAGAUCCAGCUGGAAACCCUGCUGGGGAAGUGACU